ACAUGAGCAAGGAUUUCCCAGAGGAUUUAGAGCACCCCGACUGCUGCCAGCAUCUGCUGGGGGAGAAGGACCCUGGUGGUGUCUCAGUAGUACAUGGGGUGGAGGGAGAAGCAAAAAAAAAAAAAAGUAAAUUUGGCUACAAAAACACCUUUCCUCGAGGCAACACAGCCAAGCUUUUGCAAAGGCAGAGAACAAAAGGCUGACUGGCGAUCAGGAGAAGAAAGUGCUGGAAAGGAAUUUAUUUCUACAGGAAGCUCAAUGACUUUCUGUAAAACAGACUGUAGUUCUGUUUUUUCCAUGUUAAGCUUUCAAAAGGGGCAGCUCCUGCAAGCAGCAGAUUGUCUGGUGCAGGAACAGUGAAGAUUUGAAAAGGACGAAGGGCAACUUGAGCUUCCCAGCUGGAUAGGUAGUAAAAGAUAAUAACGAAGGGUCAGCAAAAUUCUCUCAGUAGUGGUGUGCGGAGCAGUGGAACCACAAGGCCAGGGCCAGAGACAGGAGGACAAUGUAAAGAGAACUUCAGUGGGACCUGCCUAUGCCUCCAAGAUCCAUACCUCCUGGUUGGUAUUGCAGAGAGGACCAGCUGCGUCAUCUGUGUUGACUACCUGGACCUGCUACGAGGUUCUCCGUUUCAUGUGUCUGAUUCAGCACCUGGUGAUGAUUUGAUACUUCCAGAUGUGAAGAUAACGUUCCAGUUCUUCUGACAAACUGCCAGACUCUUUCUUUGUUGCUCAUGUUCCCUAAGCAACUCAACUCUACUGCCAAAGCUCAAAAGAUCCGCCAUAAAGCUAGCCAAAUUGAGGAAGUCUUUUAGAAAAUCUUUCUAAUUUAUGGCCCUUAGGAAAAUGGCCAGCUUUUCCAUAAGAUUUUUGACUGCCUUCUGUAGGAAGUCUGAUGCUCCCAUUUCAUGGAGACAAACAGCAAUUUCAUCCAGAUAAGAAGCAAUAUGUAAUGCAAGAUCAAAAUAACUGAUAAGACUCUUCCCAUCCUGAUCGCUGCAUUUUUAGAUCAAAGGUCUCAAAUUCUCAGAAAAAAAAAUCCUGUAUGAAAUAUCUGUGUGCAAACUAUACCUUUUCAAAAAUUAUUAAUUCAAAUAAAACAAACUAAGCACUUCUACUUUUAAAAGAUAUACAGAAUGCCUUAACAGUGUUUGACAAUGACAUGGAUACAGUGAGAAACUGAUAUUGUUGAGGUCCUAGUCAAAAAAAAAGGAUUGAAUGAUAAUUAACAUAACUACACUAAGAAUUUAGGAAGGAAAUACUAGAACACUUUUUCUUUCUAAGUUUUAUUCGAUUCAAAACACUCCAGGAAAAAGAAGGAAAGGAAGAAAGGAAGAAAGGAAGAAAGAAAGAAA